GACGAACGCUGGCGGCGUGCUUAACACAUGCAAGUCGAACGGAAAGGCCCUGCUCUUGUGGGGUGCUCGAGUGGCGAACGGGUGAGUAACACGUGAGUAACCUGCCCUUGACUUUGGGAUAACUUCAGGAAACUCGGGCUCAUACCGGAUAGGAGCUCCUGCUGCAUGGUGGGGGUUGGAAAGUUUCGGCGGUUGGGGAUGGACUCGCGGCUUAUCAGCUUGUUGGUGUGGUAGUGGCUUACCAAGGCUUUGACGGGUAGCCGGCCUGAGAGGGUGACCGGCCACAUGGGGACUGAGAUAGGGCCCAGACUCCUACGGGAGGCAGCAGUGGGGAAUAUUGCACAAUGGGCGGAAGCCUGAUGCAGCAACGCCGCGUGCGGGAUGACGGCCUUCGGGUUGUAAACCGCUUUCGCAUGUGACGAAGCGUGAGUGACGGUAAUGGGUAAAGAAGCACCGGCUAACUACGUG
rnacentral:rRNA from 1 species